rnacentral:misc_RNA from 1 species
AUGAAGGGUCAUCCUUGAUCUUCCUACCCUCAAACCACUGUGGACAUGACAAGUGCUUCGGCGUCGAGAGGCGUCGCCUUUAUGCUCAGAGUCUUUCGAUGUCUGUAUUCUCAAAAAGUCA